UACGUAGGGGGCUAGCGUUGUUCGGAAUUAUUGGGCGUAAAGCGCGUGUAGGCGGCUUCGCAAGUCGGGUGUGAAAUCCCACGGCUCAACCGUGGAAGUGCAUUCGAAACUGCGAGGCUAGAGUCCUGGAGAGGAAGGUGGAAUGCUUGGUGUAGAGGUGAAAUUCGUAGAUAUUCGCAAGAACACCAGUGGCGAAGGCGGCUUACUGGUCCGGUUCUGACGCUGAGGCGCGAAAGCGUGGGGAGCAAACAGG
rnacentral:rRNA from 1 species